rnacentral:tRNA from 1 species
AUUAAUGUAGUUUAAAAAAAACCUUGUUUUUUCAAAACAAAAAUAGAUAAUAAUCUUAUUAAUA